rnacentral:misc_RNA from 1 species
CUUCCCACAGUCGCGUUACACCAGCAGUAAGUAUCUGCCGUUCGACGAGCGACACGGUAAGCCUCGUUAAAAAAAUGAAAUCUUUCAUCGAAUACUCGCCGAGCAGUGAUUUCCCCCUGGAAAAUCUCCCCUAUGGAGUCUUCUCCACAUCGACUAACCCCGUGAAAAGAAUAGGCGUCGCGAUUGGCUCAGAAAUAUUGGACCUCAAGGCGGUGGCUCAUUUGUUUACGGGUAAAAUUCUUGCUGGAAAACAAGAUGCGUUACGUCAGGAAGCCCUCAAUGAUUUCAUGGCGCUUGGCAGGCCGGCUUGGACUGAAGCCAGAUCCACACUGCAGGAUCUACUCUCGGCGGACAAUCAUACCUUGCAGGAACCGGAAAUACGCUCUAAAGUAUUCGUGCAGCAAAGAGACGCAGUGAUGCAUCUCCCAGCAAAAAUAGGUGACUACACAGACUUCUACUCGUCGAUUCACCACGCGACUAACGUGGGGACGAUGUUUCGUGGAAAAGAGUCGGCUUUGAUGCCAAAUUGGAAAUAUCUUCCGGUUGGGUAUCACGGAAGAGCAAGUUCGGUCGUUGUUUCUGGGACGCCUAUCAGGAGACCGCGGGGUCAGACACUUCCGGUGGAUGGGGCUGCCCCCGUUUACGGUCCAUGCAGGCUGAUGGACUUCGAACUGGAAGUCGCCUUCUUCGUUGGGGGGCCGGCAACCAGACUGGGAGAGAGUAUACCGGCCGCGAAGGCCUACGACCACAUAUUCGGAAUGGUGACGAUGAACGAUUGGAGCGCCAGAGACAUACAGAAGUGGGAAUACGUUCCGCUGGGUCCAUUCACAGCCAAGAAUCUCGGGACAACGAUAUCUCCAUGGGUCGUUACAAUGGAAGCCCUCGAGCCAUUCAAAGUUCCAAACAUGCCGCAAAAUCCAGACCCGUUUCCCUACCUACAUCACGAGGGUUCUUGCAACUUUGACAUCAAACUGGAAGUUGAUAUCAAAGGUCCUCAGGGCGUCGCCACCACCGUGACCAGGAGUAAUUACAAAUUCAUGUACUGGACGCCGCAACAGCAGCUUGCUCAACAUACCGUGACCGGAUGCAAUUUGAAUCCUGGUGACCUGAUGGCAUCGGGAACAAUCAGUGGCGAGACGGUCGACUCUUACGGAUCAAUGCUUGAGCUCAGUUGGAAAGGUACGAAGCCGGUACCUCUAAAAGACGGAACUGUCCGAAAGUUUUUGCAAGAUGGUGAUGAAGUAUCAAUCAAAGGUUUCUGCGUGGGUGAGAACUAUCGUAUUGGCUUUGGUCCUUGCGUUGGUAAAUUGUUACCUACGAAUCCCGAAUAAGGAGGCGAUUCUGGAGCGAGCAUUUUGUACUCCCAACUUUUGUACAAUGAAAAACUUGAUAUUAUAGUCUAGUGAGGUGCCGCCAUCCCAGUGACAAUUUAACGUACUGGUUUUGCCGCGAACUAGCAAAAGCGGCAAUCAGCUCUAAACCGUGUGUCGACAAACUUAUCAUUCGCUAGAAUGAAGUGAUAUCUUACCGCAGUAACCACAUUACUGCCAGAAUUGUGAAAACUUCAGGCAAAUGUUGAUCUACGCCGACUACAACUCUGCAUAUUUUUUACCUAGACGUAUUUUAAUUUCCGAUAAACCAUAAUAUUUUUGAACUUGAAUAAAGUGCUGAAAUACGAAUCAAAACUA